CUGCAUUCAUCGGUGACGUGCCCUAAGCAAAGCUCGUUGUCGCCUCUGGGUCUCCAUCUUCGUGGAGAAAACUUGUUUAAGACCAGGAGCUUAUAGAACUACAUCAACAUAUUUAUGUAUAACAAUGUCAAAAAGGUGCUUUUUUAUUUAUGCAGUGUCACAUUUAUACCUUCAACCAGAAAAUUCUAAAUGCUUCCGCCAUAGGUACAUCUUGGACGUGUGGAUCUCAUCUUCCCAGUUACUUGUUUUGUGCGCGAGCUUGUUGGUUACACUUAUCAUAAAUAUUACCUAUGGAGGAGGAUCAUCAUAUGGAUUGGUUGGUCAUUCAUAUCCAUGGUAUGUUCAUAUCCUCCCUAUAGUUGUCCCCAAAUUUAUUUUAAAAGGCAUACAUUAUUUUCGCUAAUUUGUGGUGGUCUGGUUUUGUUGAGCAUGAAUUCCUGGCGAGCAUCAUUCAUAUUUCUGGUAUUCUGUCCAAAAGAUGCUUUCACCAAUCAAAUAUAAAUGCUUUCGUCGUAGGUACAUCUUGGACCUGGAUAAACGACUAUGGAUCCCGUCUUUCGUUUUAUUUGUUUAUUCCGUGGGCGUGCUUGUACUCCUCGAACGCAUUUCCAUAAAUACUUCACCUGAGGAAGCUGUUAUUAGUGCUGCGAAGUUUUCCAUGAGAACAUCAAAGGAGGGCACUGAAAUCGUGUUGGGUUCUUGUACAUUAUGUGUGCCAAAAUCUUCCAG
rnacentral:lncRNA from 1 species